UGCGCUGGGCCGACUGAUUGCAGUAGACAGGCCGGGCAGGGUACUGUGCGCCGUGGGCGUGGCCGCGCGUGGAGAUUGCGCACGCGCGGGCGGGCGCGCCGGUGGAGGAUCCGGGCGGUUUAGCUCCUGCUACUUAUCCAGUCAGUGUCUUCGCUACUCAGCGUCCUUUCCUUCACUGAUCUCCUGGGACUUGCGUUGUGCCUUCCGAUUGCUGUAAUUGCAUCGUUGUCUUUCUCACGGGCUAGUCUAGUGACGCUGAGAGACUCUGGACGCUCCAGGAGCUGCAGAAGGUCCUAUGGAUCAUGGCGGGAAGGGUGAAGUGGGUCACUGACAUUGAGAAGUCGGUCCUAAUCAACAACUUUGAGAAGAGAGGGUGGGUCCAAGUGACAGAAAAUGAAGAUUGGAAUUUUUACUG
rnacentral:lncRNA from 1 species